rnacentral:ncRNA from 2 species
AUUUUAAAAUAAUAGCAACCUUGUAUAAGUUCAAGAAUAUGGCUUGAACGUUUCUACCAGCUACCUUAAAUGGCUUGUCUACAAGGAUUAGAGAUCAUUUU